UACGAAGGGCCCGAGCGUUAAUCGGAAUCACUGGGCUUAAAGGGUGUGUAGGCGGAUGCGCAAGUGUCUUGUGAAAUACCACGGCUUAACCGUGGAAUUGCUUGGCAAACUGCGUGUCUUGAGGUCGAUAGGGGCAACCGGAACUCUAGGUGGAGCGGUGAAAUGCGUAGAUAUCUAGAGGAACGCCAAAGGUGAAGACAGGUUGCUGGAUCGAUUCUGACGCUGAGACACGAAAGCGUGGGUAGCGAAC
rnacentral:rRNA from 1 species